AGUGAACGCUGGCGGUAGGCCUAACACAUGCAAGUCGAACGGCAGCACAGUAAGAGCUUGCUCUUACGGGUGGCGAGUGGCGGACGGGUGAGGAAUACAUCGGAAUCUACUUUUUCGUGGGGGAUAACGUAGGGAAACUUACGCUAAUACCGCAUACGACCUACGGGUGAAAGCAGGGGAUCUUCGGACCUUGCGCGAUUGAAUGAGCCGAUGUCGGAUUAGCUAGUUGGCGGGGUAAAGGCCCACCAAGGCGACGAUCCGUAGCUGGUCUGAGAGGAUGAUCGGCCACACUGGAACUGAGACACGGUCCAGACUCCUACGGGAGGCAGCAGUGGGGAAUAUUGGACAAUGGGCGCAAGCCUGAUCCAGCCAUACCGCGUAGGUGAAGAAGGCCUUCGGGUUGUAAAGCCCUUUUGUUGGGAAAGAAAAGCAGCAGGUUAAUACCCCGCUGUUCUGACGGUACCCAAAGAAUAAGCACCGGCUAACUUCGUG
rnacentral:rRNA from 1 species